UUUUGUAGGAUGUAGGUGUAUUGAGAGUCUGAGUUAGUUGAGAGUAUAUUAUGUGUUGUAACAAUUUUCACAUAAUAUUAUUCUUUGAUUAUCUAUUGACAGCGACCAUGUUUUUUUCUUCGAUUUUAGAGUUCUCGUGAUGUGAUUAUGUUCUUUUUUUUUCCUCUAUACUUAAUUUUUUUUCCUUCCAAAUGUGAUUAAAACCGUCAACAUAAAAGAAGGCGUGUUGCACGUGGCAGUUGGAUUUAAUAAUGCAAUGAUUGACGAAUAUUGUAGGCAAAAUCAUCUACCUUUAGCGGAACAAGGGAUCACCUAAUCCAUUCUCUCUUUUGCUUAAUGUCCUUCUUAUUUUAAUGUCACUCUUGGAUUUUUCAGGAAAGGCUUUGCAAACGAC
rnacentral:lncRNA from 1 species